rnacentral:misc_RNA from 1 species
AGACAAUCACGAAGGGAAUUUAAUCUUCCGCAACAUUCAAAUAGUUAUAUUGUACAAGAUGUGGGGAAAUUUUCAUUUAUCAUGGUGUACAUAUAUCAACAAAAUUGGUAAUUAAGAAAAAAGGGGCAGCCUCUGCUCCCCUGAGGCAAAUGAGAUGAUACUCCUCUUAAGCGGUGAUAUGUGGUGUGCACCAUGAAAAGCAGCAGCACGCAAUAUAUUUAAUGGCCCAAAAUCAACCGAGUAUGCCUUCUGGAAACCAUCCAAAAUGGCCAUCAUAGUCACAUUUGCCGGUUUCCUCUCCGCUUCAUAUUUUUUCAACAGUGAUACCUCCCCUAUGUCCAUGCCUACAGCAAUACCCUCAGCAAUGAUUCUUGAAAGGGCAAAUGCAUCUCCGAAACCCAAGUUAACUCCUUGCCCAGCUAAUGGAUGAACUGCAUGUGCUGCAUCACCAAUUAGAACAACACGUCUUGAUGCAUAGUCCUUCGCAUGCAUUAAGGACAGUGGAAAUGCCAUCCUAGCAGAAGCCAACUUGACCACUUUAGGCGGAACUUCAAAAGAAUCAUUCGCUGAAAUUACCAGAUUUCCUCCAAGCCAUGAAAACAUGUCUGCACUGGCCAAUAAACUUGACUUUGGAUGAGGACCAUAUCCAUAAUCUAGAGCAUGAUUUACAGCUUUCACAAAAUCAUCCUCAUUCAUUGAUUUACAAUCUGCUGCUUCCUUUGGGUUCAUAGUCCAGACAAUAUUGCUAAACUUAUCACCCAUUGGCAAAAGUGCAAUUGGACCUCCUGGUAGAAAACGUUGCCAUGCACACUGAUUUUCUACAGAAUGCUCUACAGUGCAGAUGACUGCAUUUUGUGAGUAGUUCCACCCAGUUGUUUUAAAUCCUGCUAACUGUCUAACUUGUGACUUAGCGCCAUCAGCUCCCACCACCAACUUUGCAUAUAGGCUGCUGCCAUCGCUCAGUUCCAGCUUUGCUAAACAUCCAUUAACGUAUGAUGCUUCCGUUGACAAUGAACUUUCCACUGUAGAUGAAGAGCUUGGAUGUAGAGACAUCAAAGUUAAUCGAGAAGGGUGGAUUGUCUUUUGGAAAUCAGUAUCCUCAACACGUGAGAAUAGUGAACUGUGAAGCACUUUAUUCUCCACUACACAACCCAAGACAUCUUUAUUUACAUCUUUUGCAUUGUACUUCGUGUAUCCUAAGCCAGUGUAAUCCCAAACCUGCAAUUUAUCAAAAUAUGCAUGCCGAUGCUGUUGUACAUAUUGCCAAGCACCUACAUCUUUGAAAAGAGAUAUAGUUGCUGGUGUGACUGUACUAACCCUUGGAUCAGGUGGGUCCUCUUUCUUGAUGCUUACUUUACUCCCUAAAGCAGGAUUGCUGUCAAUGAUGGCAACAUUCAAAUGCUUUGUCAAUGGUGUGGUUGCCAAGGAACAAGCAAGGGCCAUGCCAACCAUGCCUCCCCCAACAAUAGCAAUGUCAUAUGGGUGAACUGUAUGAGUAAAGCUCUGCUUGUCCUCAUGUAUAUGGUUGUUAAUCUGAGUAGAGGCAGCAGCAGAUGCAUUUGCUCCACCGCACAAGUUCUUCCGCAGAACUUUCGAUUGAUAAGCAUUAGUAGCAGCAGCAGCAAGUUUUCUAGUGAUUGCUCUGUUCAUUGUUGCAAGCGCAGGAGAUCAGACCCAAGUUCCCAGAGAGGCAGAGAAGACGUUUAACUCCUAGUUGGC